GAGUUUGAUCCUGGCUCAGGACGAACGCUGGCGGCAGGCUUAACACAUGCAAGUCGAACGAGAAGCUUACCUUCGGGUAAGUGGACAGUGGCAGACGGGUGAGUAACGCGUGGGAACGUGCCCUUCGGUACGGAACAACAGUUAGAAAUGACUGCUAAUACCGUAUGCGACCUCCGGGUGAAAGAUUUAUCGCCGAAGGAUCGGCCCGCGUUAGAUUAGCUUGUUGGUGGGGUAAAUGCCUACCAAGGCGACGAUCUAUAGCUGUUCUGAGAGGAAGAUCAGCCACACUGGGACUGAGACACGGCCCAGACUCCUACGGGAGGCAGCAGUGGGGAAUAUUGGACAAUGGGCGCAAGCCUGAUCCAGCCAUGCCGCGUGGAUGAAGAAGGCCCUAGGGUUGUAAAAUCCUUUCGCUAGGGAAGAUAAUGACGGUACCUAGACAAGAAGCCCCGGCUAAUUUCGUGCCAGCAGCCGCGGUAAUACGAAAGGGGCUAGCGUUGUUCGGAAUUACUGGGCGUAAAGCGCGCGUAGGCGGCCUGGUAAGUUGGGGGUGAAAUCCCGGGGCUCAACCCCGGAAUUGCCCUCAAAACUACUAAGCUAGAGGCUGCGAGAGGUGAGCGGAAUUCCGAGU
rnacentral:rRNA from 1 species